UACGAACUGUGCGAACGUUAUUCGGAAUCACUGGGCUUACAGGGUGCGUAGGCGGCCGAACAAGUCAGGUGUGAAAGCCCUCGGCUCAACCGAGGAACUGCGCUUGAAACUGUUUGGCGUCGAGUCAACUAGAGGUGCACGGAACUUCCAGUGGAGCGGUGAAAUGUGUUGAUAUUGGAAGGAACACCGGAGGCGAAAGCGGUGCACUGGGGUUGGUCUGACGCUGAGGCACGAAAGCCAGGGAGCGA
rnacentral:rRNA from 1 species